ensembl:lncRNA
AUGAGUGAGUGAGUCAGUGAGUGAGUGAGUGGGUGAGUCAGUGAGUGAGUGAGUAAGUGAGCGAGUCAGUGAGUGAGUGAGUGAGUGAGUGAGUGAAUGAGUGAGUUGGUGAGUCAGUGAGUGAGUGAGUGAGUGAGUGAAUGAGUGAGUCGGUGAGUCAGUGAGUGAGUGAGUCAGUGAGUGAGUGAGUGAGUGAAUGAGUGAGUGAGUGAGUCGGUGAGUCUGUGAGUGAGUGAGUGAGUCAGUUUGUGAGUGAGUGAGUGAGUGAAUGAGUCAGUGAGUGAGUGAGUGAGUGAGUGAGUCAGUGAGUGAGUGAGUGAAUGAGUGAGUGAGAGUCAGUGAGUGAGUGAGUGAGUCAGUGAGUGAGUGAGUGAUUGAGUGAGUGAGUGAAUGAGUCAGUGAGUGAGUCAGUGAGUCAGUGAGUGAGUCAAUGAGUGAGUGAGUAAGUGAGCGAAUCAGUGAGUGAGUGAGUGAGUGAAUGAGUGAGUUGGUGAGUCAGUGAGUGAGUGAGUGAGUGAAUGAGUGAGUCGGUGAGUCAGUGAGUGAGUGAGUGAGUCAGUGAGUGAGUGAGUCAGUGAGUGAGUGAGUGAAUGAGUGAGUGAGUGAGUCGGUGAGUCUGUGAGUGAGUGAGUGAGUCAGUUUGUGAGUGAGUCAGUGAGUGAGUGAGUGAGUGAGUGAGUAAGUCAGUCAGUGAGUGAGGGAGUGAGUCAGUCAGUGAGUGAGUCAGUGAUUGAGUGAGUGAGUGAGAAAAGAACUGGGCAUUAAAGGUAAUACUGCUUGUCAAUGAGGUUUUAUUUACGGAACAA